rnacentral:rRNA from 1 species
AUUGAACGCUGGCGGCAUGCCUUACACAUGCAAGUCGAACGGCAGCACGGGGGCAACCCUGGUGGCGAGUGGCGAACGGGUGAGUAACAUAUCGGAACAUACCCUAGAGUGGGGGAUAACGUAGCGAAGUUACGCUAAUACCGCAUACGAUCUAAGGAUGAAAGUGGGGGAUCUUCGGACCUCAUGCUCAUGGAGUGGCCGAUAUCUGAUUAGCUAGUUGGUGAGGUAAAGGCUCACCAAGGCGACGAUCAGUAGCUGGUUUGAGAGAACGACCAGCCACACUGGAACUGAGACACGGUCCAGACUCCUACGGGAGGCAGCAGUGGGGAAUUUUGGGACAAUGGGGGGCAACCCUGGAUCCAGCAAUGCCGCGUGAGUGAAGAAGGCC